CCGAUACUCCCUCCAUCCGAAAAUACUUGUCAUCAAAAUGGAUACAUCCCUUUUUAUCCAUUUUAAUGAUAAGUAUUUUCGGACGGAGGGAGUAUCCG
rfam:Triticum aestivum genome assembly, contig: Triticum_aestivum_CS42_TGACv1_scaffold_423612_5BS